GACGAACGCUGGCGGCGUGCUUAACACAUGCAAGUCGAACGGAAAGGCCCUGCUUUUGUGGGGUGCUCGAGUGGCGAACGGGUGAGUAACACGUGAGUAACCUGCCCUUGACUUUGGGAUAACUUCAGGAAACUGGGGCUAAUACCGGAUAGGAGCUCCUGCUGCAUGGUGGGGGUUGGAAAGUUUCGGCGGUUGGGGAUGGACUCGCGGCUUAUCAGCUUGUUGGUGGGGUAGUGGCUUACCAAGGCUUUGACGGGUAGCCGGCCUGAGAGGGUGACCGGCCACAUUGGGACUGAGAUACGGCCCAGACUCCUACGGGAGGCAGCAGUGGGGAAUAUUGCACAAUGGGCGGAAGCCUGAUGCAGCAACGCCGCGUGCGGGAUGACGGCCUUCGGGUUGUAAACCGCUUUCGCCUGUGACGAAGCGUGAGUGACGGUAAUGGGUAAAGAAGCACCGGCUAAUUACGUGCCAGCAGCCGCGGUGAUACGUAGGGUGCGAGCGUUGUCCGGAUUUAUUGGGCGUAAAGGGCUCGUAGGUGGUUGAUCGCGUCGGAAGUGUAAUCUUGGGGCUUAACCCUGAGCGCGCUUUCGAUACGGGUUGACUUGAGGAAGGUAGGGGAGAAUGGAAUUCCUGGUGGAGCGGUGGAAUGCGCAGAUAUCAGGAGGAACACCAGUGGCGAAGGCGGUUCUCUGGGCCUUUCCUGACGCUGAGGAGCGAAAGCGUGGGGAGCGAACAGGCUUAGAUACCCUGGUAGUCCGCGCUGUAAACGGUGGGUACUAGGUGUGGGGUCCAUUCCACGGGUUCCGUGCCGUAGCUAACGCUUUAAGUACCCCGCCUGGGGAGUACGGCCGCAAGGCUAAAACUCAAAGGAAUUGACGGGGCCCCGCACAAGCGGCGGAGCAUGCGGAUUAAUUCGAUGCAACGCGUAGAACCUUACCUGGGUUUGACAUGGAUCGGGAGUGCUCAGAGAUGGGUGUGCCUCUUUUGGGGUCGGUUCACAGGUGGUGCAUGGCUGUCGUCAGCUCGUGUCGUGAGAUGUUGGGUUAAGUCCCGCAACGAGCGCAACCCUUGUUCACUGUUGCCAGCACGUUAUGGUGGGGACUCAGUGGAGACCGCCGGGGUCAAUUCGGAGGAAGGUGGGGAUGACGUCAAGUCGUCAUGCCCCUUAUGUCCAGGGCUUCACGCAUGCUACAAUGGCUGGUACAGAGAGUGGCGAGCCUGUGAGGGUGAGCGAAUCUCGGAAAGCCGGUCUCAGUUCGGAUUGGGGUCUGCAACUCGACCUCAUGAAGUCGGAGUCGCUAGUAAUCGCAGAUCAGCAACGCUGCGGUGAAUACGUUCCCGGG
rnacentral:rRNA from 1 species